GGGGAUGAUCCGGUUUCGACGGGAAUAACGGGGGCAGGAUAAGCGAGCCGCAGACCCUGAACUGCGUAUCAACGGGGAAAAACAAUAACUGACAAUAGCAAUUACGCUUUCGCGGCUUAAUGCCGCGCGUCGGCCCUGACCGCCUGCAGAUCAGGUCACCGGCGUCAUUGAUGCAGGGAACGAGUCACGUUUAAGCUUUGCGACGCGAUCCGUAAUGAUGAAGCUACCCUGCCGGCAGUCCUUCCGCGGACGGCCGGACGGGGGAAACCAAACCGCGGAAUGCGCUCGGAGAAAGUCCUGCUGAAGUAUUUUCGGACAGGGGUUCAACUCCCCUCAUCUCCACCA
rnacentral:tmRNA from 1 species